GACGAACGCUGGCGGCGUGCUUAACACAUGCGAGUCGAACGGAAAGGCCUCUUUCGGGGGGUACUCGAGUGGCGAACGGGUGAGUAACACGUGUGUAACCUGCCCUUGACUUUGGGAUAACUUCAGGAAACUGGGGCUAAUACCGGAUAGGAGCUCCUGCUGCAUGGUGGGGGUUGGAAAGUUUCGGCGGUUGGGGAUGGACUCGCGGCUUAUCAGCUUGUUGGUGGGGUAGUGGCUUACCAAGGCUUUGACGGGUAGCCGGCCUGAGAGGGUGACCGGCCACAUUGGGACUGAGAUACGGCCCAGACUCCUACGGGAGGCAGCAGUGGGGAAUAUUGCACAAUGGGUGGAAGCCUGAUGCAGCAACGCCGUGUGCGGGAUGACGGCCUUCGGGUUGUAAACCGCUUUCGCUCAUGACGAAGCUUUGUGUGACGGUAGUGGGUAAAGAAGCACCGGCUAACUACGUG
rnacentral:rRNA from 1 species